rnacentral:ncRNA from 1 species
AAAGAAGGGGUGCUGCAACCGAUGCGGCUGAGAGAAAGACAAACGGGUCUUUUAACCCUAAACCUGAUCCGGGUAAUGCCGGCGGAGGGAUCUGUGAUA